AUGGAUGGUCCGGAUUCGUCGUACUCGGCCUUGGCGAUCCACAUCUGCUGGAAGGUGCUGAGGGAGGCGAGGAUGGAGCCUCCGAUCCACACACUGUACUUCCUCUCGGGCGGGGCGACGACCUUGAUCUUCAUGGAGCUGGGCGCGAGGGCGGUGAUCUCCUUGCUCAUCCUGUCGGCGAUGCCGGUGAACAUGGUGGUGCCACCACUGAGGACGAUGUUGCCGUAGAGGUCCUUCCUGAUGUCCACAUCACACUUCAUGAUGGAGUUGUAGGUGGUCUCGUGGAUCCCCGCGGCUUCCAUCCCGAUGAAGGAUGGCUGGAAGAGCACCUCCGGGCAGCGGAAGCGCUCGGCGCCGAUGGUGAUGACCUGGCCGUCGGGCAGCUCGUAG
rnacentral:rRNA from 1 species